GAUGAACGCUGACAGAAUGCUUAACACAUGCAAGUCAACUUGAAUUUGGGUUUUUAACUUAGAUUUGGGUGGCGGACGGGUGAGUAACGCGUAAAGAACUUGCCUCACAGCUAGGGACAACAUUUAGAAAUGAAUGCUAAUACCUGAUAUUAUGAUUUUAAGGCAUCUUAGAAUUAUGAAAGCUAUAAGCACUGUGAGAGAGCUUUGCGUCCCAUUAGCUAGUUGGAGAGGUAACAGCUCACCAAGGCGAUGAUGGGUAGCCGGCCUGAGAGGGUGAACGGCCACAAGGGGACUGAGACACGGCCCUUACUCCUACGGGAGGCAGCAGUGGGGAAUAUUGGACAAUGGACCGAGAGUCUGAUCCAGCAAUUCUGUGUGCACGAUGAAGUUUUUCGGAAUGUAAAGUGCUUUCAGUUGGAAAGAAAGAAAUGACGGUACCAACAGAAGAAGUGACGGCUAAAUACGUGCCAGCAGCCGCGGUAAUACGUAUGUCACGAGCGUUAUCCGGAUUUAUUGGGCGUAAAGCGCGUCUAGGUGGUUAUGUAAGUCUGAUGUGAAAAUGCAGGGCUCAACUCUGUAUUGCGUUGGAAACUGUAUAACUAGAGUACUGGAGAGGUAAGCGGAACUACAAGUGUAGAGGUGAAAUUCGUAGAUAUUUGUAGGAAUGCCGAUGGGGAAGCCAGCUUACUGGACAGAUACUGACGCUAAAGCGCGAAAGCGUGGGGUAGCAAACAGG
rnacentral:rRNA from 1 species